rnacentral:rRNA from 1 species
AUUGAACGCUGGCGGCAUGCUUUACACAUGCAAGUCGAACGGUAACAGGUUAAGCUGACGAGUGGCGAACGGGUGAGUAAUGCAUCGGAACGUGCCCGAUCGUGGGGGAUAACGCAGCGAAAGCUGCGCUAAUACCGCAUACGAUCUGAGGAUGAAAGCGGGGGACCGUAAGGCCUCGCGCGAUCGGAGCGGCCGAUGUCAGAUUAGGUAGUUGGUGGGGUAAAGGCUCACCAAGCCGACGAUCUGUAGCUGGUCUGAGAGGACGACCAGCCACACUGGGACUGAGACACGGCCCAGACUCCUACGGGAGGCAGCAGUGGGGAAUUUUGGACAAUGGGCGAAAGCCUGAUCCAGCAAUGCCGCGUGCAGGAAGAAGGCCUUCGGGUUGUAAACUGCUUUUGUACGGAGCGAAAAGGCUCUCUCUAAUACAGGGGGCUCAUGACGGUACCGUAAGAAUAAGCACCGGCUAACUACGUGCCAGCCGCCGCCGUAAUAC